rnacentral:rRNA from 1 species
UACGUAAGGACCGAGCGUUGUCCGGAAUCAUUGGGCGUAAAGGGUACGUAGGCGGUUAGAAAAGUUAGAAGUGAAAGGCUAUAGCUCAACUAUAGUAAGCUUUUAAAACUGUUUAACUUGAGAGAUGGAAGGGAAAGUGGAAUUCCUAGUGUAGCGGUGAAAUGCGCAGAGAUGUGGAGGAAUACCGAAGGCGAAGGCAGCCCCUUGGACAAAGACUGACGCUGAGGUGCGAAAGCGUGGGGAGCAAACAGG